rnacentral:lncRNA from 1 species
CAGAAAGAAAAAGAGCUGAAGAGAGAAAUCGAAGCAACCUUCUGCCUUUUCCUGAGUGCAGUGUCAGGACAGUGCAAAAGAAGAGAGCUUUGGGCGUCUUCUCCCUGGUGACCUUCUGGGGGCCCUAGCCGGGCACCUGGCAUUUGACAGCCACUGGCUGAUUCUAGCAGCCAUCCUUGCUAUGGUACCAAUCAGGGCUCGACUGGCUCUGGCCCCAAGCCUGGCAGCUGUGGCUCCCUUGUGCCCCAGGAGCGGCUGUCCCUCUGGGGACCCCAAAGACGAAGUGGAC